AUUAAAACAGAAUAUUCCAUCCAUAUAAUUCUGAUGAUAUGGUUCAGAAGUUUCUACGAGAAAACCUUAAAUUUUCUGUCUAUGGGUGAGUCCUAAAAGCAU
rnacentral:ncRNA from 2 species